rnacentral:rRNA from 1 species
CUGCUAUUGGGAUUCGACUAAGCCAUGCGAGUCUAUGGUUUCGGCCAUGGCGGACGGCUCAUUAACACGUGGUUAACAUACCCUCAGGUGGGGGAUAACCUUGGGAAACUGAGGAUAAUACCCCAUAGAAAAAGCAGUCUGGAACGAUUCUUUUUCGAAAGCAUAUGCGCCUGAGGAUUGGACUGCGCUCGAUUAGGUAGUUGGUGGGGUAAUGGCCCACCAAGCCUACGAUCGGUACGGGCCUUGAGAGAGGAAGCCCGGAGAUGGGGACUGAGACACGGCCCCAGGCCCUACGGGGCGCAGCAGGCGCGAAACCUCCGCAAUGCACGAAAGUGCGACGGGGGGAUCCCAAGUGCUCAUGCACAGCAUGGGCUUUUAUCAAGUGUAAACAGCUUGAGGAAUAAGGGCUGGGCAAGUUCGGUGCCAGCAGCCGCGGUAACACCGACGGCCCGAGUGGUGGCCACUUUUAUUGGGCCUAAAGCGUCCGUAGCCGGUCCAGUAAGUCCUUGUUUAAAUCCUGCGGCUUAACCGCAGGACUGGCAGGGAUACUGCUGGACUUGGGACCGGGAGAGGACAAGGGUACUUCAGGGGUAGCGGUGAAAUGUGUUGAUCCUUGAAGGACCACCUAUGGCGAAGGCACUUGUCUGGAACGGGUCCGACGGUGAGGGACGAAAGCCAGGGGCGCGAACCGGAUUAGAUACCCGGGUAGUCCUGGCCGUAAACUUUGCGAACUAGGUGUUAGGUGGGCCCCGUGCCCAUCUAGUGCCGAAGGGAAGCCGUUAAGUUCGCCGCCUGGGGAGUACGGUCGCAAGACUGAAACUUAAAGGAAUUGGCGGGGGAGCACCACAACGGGUGGAGCCUGCGGUUUAAUUGGAUUCAACGCCGGGCAUCUCACCAGGAGCGACAGCAUGAUGACGGUCAGGUUGACGACCUUGCCUGAAGCGCUGAGAGGUGGUGCAUGGCCAUCGUCAGCUCGUACCGCGAGGCGUCCUGUUAAGUCAGGUAACGAGCGAGACCCGUGCCCUAUGUUGCUACUUUUUCCUCCGGGAGAAAGGCACUCAUAGGGGACCGCUGGCGCUAAGUCAGAGGAAGGAGCGGGCAACGAUAGGUCCGCAUGCCCCGAAUCUCCUGGGCUACACGCGGGCUACAAUGGCUAGGACAAUGGGCCGCAACCCUGAAAAGGGACGCAAAUCUCCUAAACCUAGUCGUAGUUCGGAUCGUGGGCUGUAACUCGCCCACGUGAAGCUGGAAUCCGUAGUAAUCGCAGUUCAUAAUACUGCGGUGAAUGUGUCCCUGCUCCUUGCACACACCGCCCGUCACACCACCCGAGUUGGGUUGAAGUGAGGCCUUGGCCUUUGGCUAGGGUCGAACUUGGGCUCAGCGAGGGGGGUG